GACGAACGCUGGCGGCGUGCUUAACACAUGCAAGUCGAGCGGAGCGGCGAACGGGGGAGUAAAGCGUGAGUAACUGCCCCCCUCACUGGGAGAACAGUUGGAAACGGCUGCUAAUACCGGAUAGUGGGGGAUGACUCGCGUCCUAUCAGCUUGUGGGUGGGGUAGUGGACUACCAAGGCGACGACGGGUAGCCGGCCUGAGCGGGCGAACGGCAACCUUGUGCUGAGAUACGGCCCUAACUCCUACGUGAGGCAGCAGUGGGGAUUAUUGCACAAUGGGGGAAACCCUGAUGCAGCAUCGCCGCGUGCGGGAUGACGGCCUUCGGGUUGUAAACCGCUUUCAGCCAUGACGCGGUAGUUGCAGAAGAAGCACCGGCUAACUACGUGCCAGCAGCCGCGGUAAUUC
rnacentral:rRNA from 1 species